AUCCAAAUAGCUCAGUUGGGAGAGCGAUAGACUAUAGAUCGAAAGGUCCCUGGUUCGACCCCGGGAUUCGGCA
rnacentral:tRNA from 1 species